GUUGAACAAGGAAGUGCAGCGUGAAGUGAACUGAUUACAAACAAUUGCUGGCGAUAGCGGAUUACAACAAGUAGGAGGAUGACUGGACGCUGUAGUGACUCAUUGUUUUAACGGUUUAAUACUGGAGGGAGCGAUGGAUAAAGGAAAGGCCCGGUUACUACACAUCCUUCUUCUGGUGGCGAGGAAAACGAAAACCAUAUCCUGGCUUAGACCUCUACCUCCCACCCUUCUCCAAUGGAGAGAAAGGCUAGAGAGGGUUUACUUGAUGGAGAAAAUAACAGCGAAACUCCAUCUGAAAAUGGAUUUGUUUGUGGUUCUAUGGGCUCCUGUCAUUGCUUACCUUACAUUACCAAUAGGGUAAGAGACCGGUUUACAUAAUCUCAAUUUAUUUAAAAGAAAACAUUAUGUAUAUUUCUUUUGGUUUAUUUUGGAUGUGUCAGUAGACAUAUUCAUAGAGAUGUAUGUGAAAGGUUAACAAUUGCUUGUGUGUUUAUGGACAGAUAUAUCUGAUGCCUGCUUUGAAGAAGCAAUUUUUUUCCCUCUACUUGUCAAGAGUCUCCUCUUUGUGCGGAUGAAGAUGUUGCCAUGCGUUUUAUUUAUUUUUAAUUUUCUAUG